rnacentral:rRNA from 1 species
GUGGGGAAUAUUGGACAAUGGGGGGAACCCUGAUCCAGCCAUGCCGCGUGUGUGAAGAAGGCCUUUUGGUUGUAAAGCACUUUAAGCGAGGAGGAGGCUACCGAGAUUAAUACUCUUGGAUAGUGGACGUUACUCGCAGAAUAAGCACCGGCUAACUCUGUGCCAGCAGCCGCGGUAAUACAGAGGGUGCAAGCGUUAAUCGGAUUUACUGGGCGUAAAGCGCGCGUAUGUGGCCAAUUAAGUCAAAUGUGAAAUCCCCGAGCUUAACUUGGGAAUUGCAUUCGAUACUGGUUGGCUAGAGUAUGGGAGAGGAUGGUAGAAUUCCAGGUGUAGCGGUGAAAUGCGUAGAGAUCUGGAGGAAUACCGAUGGCGAAGGCAGCCAUCUGGCCUAAUACUGACACUGAGGUGCGAAAGCAUGGGGAGCAAACAGGAUUAGAUACCCGUGUAGUCC